UACAGAGGGGGCAAGCGUUAUUCGGAAUUAUUGGGCGUAAAGGGCGCGUAGGCGGCUUUGCAAGUGACGGGUGAAAUCCCACGGCUUAACCGUGGAACUGCCUGUCAGACUGCAUGGCUUGAGACCAGGAGAGGUGAGUGGAAUUCCCAGUGUAGCGGUGAAAUGCGUAGAUAUUGGGAGGAACACCAGUGGCGAAGGCGGCUCACUGGACCGGUACUGACGCUGAGGCGCGAAAGCGUGGGGAGCGAACAGG
rnacentral:rRNA from 1 species